CAGAAGUGGAAAUUAUCAAAACCUUGACCAUGGGAUACGAUAAAAAAGGUAGACAAACAUUCCCAAGUUAUAUUAUUAUGUAUUUUUUAAUAAGAAAUAGUGAAAAACUCAAUGAUGCCUAAAUAGGAAAGGAGAUUUAUCCUAAUUUGGUAGAAGAAUCUACAUUUGCAGCCUGGAAAUAAAAUAUUUGUCACUCCUAAACAGAGCAAGAGAUUUAAGAAGAAUUGCCUAAUGGCUAUUAGAAAACCACACUUGCACAUCAUAUAAUACUCAAAUAAAACAGAAUGAUGCUAAAAUUACCAGCAAUUCCAAAAAAUGUAUG
rnacentral:misc_RNA from 1 species